UUAAGCGACUAAGCGUACACGGUGGAUGCCCUGGCAGUCAGAGGCGAUGAAGGACGUGCUAAUCUGCGAUAAGCGUCGGUGAGGUGAUAUGAACCGUUAUAACCGGCGAUUUCCGAAUGGGGAAACCCAGUGUGUUUCGACACACUAUCAUUAACUGAAUCCAUAGGUUAAUGAGGCGAACCGGGGGAACUGAAACAUCUAAGUACCCCGAGGAAAAGAAAUCAACCGAGAUUCCCCCAGUAGCGGCGAGCGAACGGGGAGGAGCCCAGAGCCUGAAUCAGUGUGUGUGUUAGUGGAAGCGUCUGGAAAGGCGUGCGAUACAGGGUGACAGCCUCGUACACAAAAAUGCACAUAUUGUGAGCUCGAUGAGUAGGGCGGGACACGUGGUAUCCUGUCUGAAUAUGGGGGGACCAUCCUCCAAGGCUAAAUACUCCUGACUGACCGAUAGUGAACCAGUACCGUGAGGGAAAGGCGAAAAGAACCCCGGCGAGGGGAGUGAAAAAGAACCUGAAACCGUGUACGUACAAGCAGUGGGAGCCUCUUAAUGGGGUGACUGCGUACCUUUUGUAUAAUGGGUCAGCGACUUAUAUUCUGUAGCAAGGUUAACCGAAUAGGGGAGCCGAAGGGAAACCGAGUCUUAACUGGGCGUUAAGUUGCAGGGUAUAGACCCGAAACCCGGUGAUCUAGCCAUGGGCAGGUUGAAGGUUGGGUAACACUAACUGGAGGACCGAACCGACUAAUGUUGAAAAAUUAGCGGAUGACUUGUGGCUGGGGGUGAAAGGCCAAUCAAACCGGGAGAUAGCUGGUUCUCCCCGAAAGCUAUUUAGGUAGCGCCUCGUGAAUUCAUCUCCGGGGGUAGAGCACUGUUUCGGCAAGGGGGUCAUCCCGACUUACCAACCCGAUGCAAACUGCGAAUACCGGAGAAUGUUAUCACGGGAGACACACGGCGGGUGCUAACGUCCGUCGUGAAGAGGGAAACAACCCAGACCGCCAGCUAAGGUCCCAAAGUCAUGGUUAAGUGGGAAACGAUGUGGGAAGGCCCAGACAGCCAGGAUGUUGGCUUAGAAGCAGCCAUCAUUUAAAGAAAGCGUAAUAGCUCACUGGUCGAGUCGGCCUGCGCGGAAGAUGUAACGGGGCUAAACCAUGCACCGAAGCUGCGGCAGCGACACUAUGUGUUGUUGGGUAGGGGAGCGUUCUGUAAGCCUGUGAAGGUGGCCUGUGAGGGUUGCUGGAGGUAUCAGAAGUGCGAAUGCUGACAUAAGUAACGAUAAAGCGGGUGAAAAGCCCGCUCGCCGGAAGACCAAGGGUUCCUGUCCAACGUUAAUCGGGGCAGGGUGAGUCGACCCCUAAGGCGAGGCCGAAAGGCGUAGUCGAUGGGAAACAGGUUAAUAUUCCUGUACUUGGUGUUACUGCGAAGGGGGGACGGAGAAGGCUAUGUUGGCCGGGCGACGGUUGUCCCGGUUUAAGCGUGUAGGCUGGUUUUCCAGGCAAAUCCGGAAAACCAAGGCUGAGGCGUGAUGACGAGGCACUACGGUGCUGAAGUGACAAAUGCCCUGCUUCCAGGAAAAGCCUCUAAGCAUCAGGUAACAUCAAAUCGUACCCCAAACCGACACAGGUGGUCAGGUAGAGAAUACCAAGGCGCUUGAGAGAACUCGGGUGAAGGAACUAGGCAAAAUGGUGCCGUAACUUCGGGAGAAGGCACGCUGAUAUGUAGGUGAAGCGACUUGCUCGUGGAGCUGAAAUCAGUCGAAGAUACCAGCUGGCUGCAACUGUUUAUUAAAAACACAGCACUGUGCAAACACGAAAGUGGACGUAUACGGUGUGACGCCUGCCCGGUGCCGGAAGGUUAAUUGAUGGGGUUAGCGGUAACGCGAAGCUCUUGAUCGAAGCCCCGGUAAACGGCGGCCGUAACUAUAACGGUCCUAAGGUAGCGAAAUUCCUUGUCGGGUAAGUUCCGACCUGCACGAAUGGCGUAAUGAUGGCCAGGCUGUCUCCACCCGAGACUCAGUGAAAUUGAACUCGCUGUGAAGAUGCAGUGUACCCGCGGCAAGACGGAAAGACCCCGUGAACCUUUACUAUAGCUUGACACUGAACAUUGAGCCUUGAUGUGUAGGAUAGGUGGGAGGCUUUGAAGUGUGGACGCCAGUCUGCAUGGAGCCGACCUUGAAAUACCACCCUUUAAUGUUUGAUGUUCUAACGUUGGCCCGUAAUCCGGGUUGCGGACAGUGUCUGGUGGGUAGUUUGACUGGGGCGGUCUCCUCCUAAAGAGUAACGGAGGAGCACGAAGGUUGGCUAAUCCUGGUCGGACAUCAGGAGGUUAGUGCAAUGGCAUAAGCCAGCUUGACUGCGAGCGUGACGGCGCGAGCAGGUGCGAAAGCAGGUCAUAGUGAUCCGGUGGUUCUGAAUGGAAGGGCCAUCGCUCAACGGAUAAAAGGUACUCCGGGGAUAACAGGCUGAUACCGCCCAAGAGUUCAUAUCGACGGCGGUGUUUGGCACCUCGAUGUCGGCUCAUCACAUCCUGGGGCUGAAGUAGGUCCCAAGGGUAUGGCUGUUCGCCAUUUAAAGUGGUACGCGAGCUGGGUUUAGAACGUCGUGAGACAGUUCGGUCCCUAUCUGCCGUGGGCGCUGGAGAACUGAGGGGGGCUGCUCCUAGUACGAGAGGACCGGAGUGGACGCAUCACUGGUGUUCGGGUUGUCAUGCCAAUGGCACUGCCCGGUAGCUAAAUGCGGAAGAGAUAAGUGCUGAAAGCAUCUAAGCACGAAACUUGCCCCGAGAUGAGUUCUCCCUGACUCCUUGAGGGUCCUGAAGGAACGUUGAAGACGACGACGUUGAUAGGCCGGGUGUGUAAGCGCAGCGAUGCGUUGAGCUAACCGGUACUAAUGAACCGUGAGGCUUAACCUU
rnacentral:rRNA from 8 species